UGUAAAAUAAGCUAAAUUAAAGCUAUUGGGCUCAUACCCCAAAAAUGAAUAAUAUAUUCUUUUACAG
rnacentral:tRNA from 1 species